rnacentral:rRNA from 1 species
AGCGGCGGAUGGGUGAGUAACACGUGGGUAACCUGCCCUUAAGUCUGGGAUACCACUUGGAAACAGGUGCUAAUACCGGAUAACAACAAGUGCUGCAUGGCACUUGCUUGAAAGGCGGCGUAAGCUGUCGCUAAAGGAUGGACCCGCGGUGCAUUAGCUAGUUGGUAAGGUAACGGCUUACCAAGGCAACGAUGCAUAGCCGAGUUGAGAGACUGAUCGGCCACAUUGGGACUGAGACACGGCCCAAACUCC